CAUGCAAGUCGAACGCUAUUUAUAGAGUGGCGCACGGGUGAGUAACGCGUGGGAACCUGCCUUUCCCUGCGAGAUAACGGUUGGAAACGACCGCUAAUACCGCAUACGCCCUACGGGGGAAAGGUCCGCCGGAGAAAGAGGGGCCCGCGUCUGAUUAGCUUGUUGGUAGGGUAAUGGCCUACCAAGGCUACGAUCAGUAGCUGGUCUGAGAGGAUGAUCAGCCACACUGGGACUGAGACACGGCCCAGACUCCUACGGGAGGCAGCAGUGGGGAAUAUUGGACAAUGGGGGCAACCCUGAUCCAGCAAUGCCGCGUGUGUGAUGAAGGCCUUAGGGUUGUAAAGCACUUUCACUGGUGAAGAUGAUGACGGUAACCAGAGAAGAAGCCCCGGCUAACUUCGUGCCAGCAGCCGCGGUAAUACGAAGGGGGCGAGCGUUGUUCGGAAUUACUGGGCGUAAAGGGCGCGUAGGCGGUCUUUUAAGUUAGGCGUGAAAGCCCCGGGCUCAACCCGGGAACUGCGCUUAAGACUGGAAGACUAGAAAACGGAAGAGGGUAGUGGAAUUCCCAGUGUAGAGGUGAAAUUCGUAGAUAUUGGGAAGAACACCAGUGGCGAAAGCGGCUACCUGGUCCGAUUCUGACG
rnacentral:rRNA from 1 species